AGACGAUAAUACUAAACCACCUGUGAAGGUGGGGCGGAAAGCCUAUUGGGUCUCCAGGAGACAGCCGGGUUGCCGAA
rfam:Geobacter uraniireducens Rf4, complete genome.